rnacentral:rRNA from 1 species
CCUACGGGAGGCAGCAGUGAGGAAUAUUGGUCAAUGGGCGAGAGCCUGAACCAGCCAAGUAGCGUGAAGGAUGACUGCCCUACGGGUUGUAAACUUCUUUUAUAAGGGAAUAAAGUGCGGUACGUGUGCCGUUUUGUAUGUACAUUAUGAAUAAGGAACGGCUAACUCCGUGCCAGCAGCCGCGGUAAUACGGAGGGUCCGAGCGUUAUCCGGAUUUAUUGGGUUUAAAGGGAGCGUAGGUGGGUUGUUAAGUCAGUUGUGAAAGUUUGCGGCUCAACCGUAAAAUUGCAUUUGAUACUGGAUGUCUUGAGUACAGUAGAGGUAGGCGGAAUUCGUGGUGUAGCGGUGAAAUGCUGAGAUAUCACGAAGAACUCCGAUGGCGAAGGCAGCUUACUGGACUGUAACUGACGUUGAUGCUCGAAAGUGUGGGUAUCAAACAGGAUUAGAUACCCCAGUAGUC